GGCCUGCUGGCCCAAUGGCAAGGCGCUUGACUACGAAUAUCUUUCAGAAAUGAUGAUAUAAGUUAAUCAAGAGAUUGCAGGUUCGAUCCCUGCGUAGGUCA
rfam:Glarea lozoyensis ATCC 20868 chromosome Tnknown GLAREA14, whole genome shotgun sequence.